AACGAACGCUGGCGGCAUGCCUAACACAUGCAAGUCGAACGAGACCUUCGGGUCUAGUGGCGCACGGGUGCGUAACGCGUGGGAACCUGCCCUUAGGUUCGGAAUAACUCCCCGAAAGGGGUGCUAAUACCGGAUAAUGUCUUCGGACCAAAGAUUUAUCGCCUUUGGGUGGGCCCGCGUUGGAUUAGCUAGUUGGUAGGGUAAAAGCCUACCAAGGCGACGAUCCAUAGCUGGUCUGAGAGGAUGAUCAGCCACACUGGGACUGAGACACGGCCCAGACUCCUACGGGAGGCAGCAGUGGGGAAUAUUGGACAAUGGGCGAAAGCCUGAUCCAGCAAUGCCGCGUGAGUGAUGAAGGCCUUAGGGUUGUAAAGCUCUUUUACCCGGGAUGAUAAUGACAGUACCGGGAGAAUAAGCUCCGGCUAACUCCGU
rnacentral:rRNA from 1 species